UGGGGAAUUUUGCGCAAUGGGCGAAAGCCUGACGCAGCAAUGCCGCGUGAGUGAUGAAGGUUUUAGGAUCGUAAAGCUCUGUCAGAGGGGAAGAAACUAUUAUUGUUUAAUCGCAAUAGUACUGACGGUACCCUCAAAGGAAGCACCGGCUAACUCCGUGCCAGCAGCCGCGGUAAUACGGAGGGUGCAAGCGUUGUUCGGAAUUAUUGGGCGUAAAGAGCAUGUAGGCGGCUGUCUAAGUCUGAUGUGAAAGCCCGGGGCUCAACCCCGGAAGUGCAUUGGAUACUGGGCAGCUUGAGUAUGGGAGAGGAAAGUGGAAUUCCGAGUGUAGGGGUGAAAUCCGUAGAUAUUCGGAGGAACACCAGUGGCGAAGGCGGCUUUCUGGACCAAUACUGACGCUGAGAUGCGAAAGCGUGGGGAGCAAACA
rnacentral:rRNA from 1 species